UUUAUUAAUUACUAAUAUAUUUUUUAAUAUAUAUAUUUUUCAAAGUCAUAAUAAAGAAUAAGAAGGUGUGUCCAAAUGUUUGACUGGUAGAAAACACAAAUGUACCCCUUAUGGUCAUGUAAUGUCAUUUUAUCGAGUAAUGUUCAGAGUUCGCUGUAGGUUUGACAUCCUGUAGUGCAAAAUGUUAUGAAUUUCCGUUUUACAUUCUGGUCCAUCGCGCCUCUGUAUUGAUUGAACAAAGGUAACCUGUAACGCACAAUGAACAAAUGCCAGUGGAGGACAUUUGGUCUGAUUUGGGGUUUAGAGCCGACUGAGAUAAAGCCAUAGAACAUUCUAGAACUAAUCAUGGAAGUGCAGGGCAGAAAAUAAUGAAUCUCUUCCUGUCCUCCACCCUGCUCAUCCUCUCUCUUCCUGUCUUGCGGUGUUUAAAAAAGCUCCCGCAUUUUCCUACUUCAUAACUAAUCAUUAUAUUGCAUUCUCACACACAGGGUUUAUACUGUAGGUAAUUUAAAGUACAAAAUGCAAUCGUGGAAAAUCCCUUUUUAAGCUUAGAUAGCAGUUACAGUAGUUUACUUAAAUGUUCCAGAUAACUUAAAAUCAGAAAUUUAAAGCUUUUAUUUAUAUAUAAAUGUAUAAAGUAUAAAGAAUUAAUACUCACACAAAAGCUAUAUAUAUUAAUGUUUUCACAUUUACACAUUUGAAUAUUGGUUUGAUAUUUAUUGUCAACUAAAUGUUUUCUUUCAAAAUACUGACUGAAUUAAAAGACAAAAAUCAUGACUAAAAAUUACAUAACUAGAAGUGUCUGCAUUCAUAUGAUGCUUCAGUAGAUUAAGACGUAGUGUUUUAUUUUAUUUAAAAAAGGAAAUAUUAAAUAUAUUAUUUUUUAAAGCAAAUAGUGUACUUUAAAGUUCCAAAGGUCUUAAAAACAGAAAUGUAAAGCUCAUAUUUAUAAAGAAAUAAUAAUAUAAUUUAUAAUUAUAUACAGUAGAAGUCAUGAUUUUUCAUCUGGAACUACUUUUAAUUUUUUAUAAUAAUAAUCAAGAGGGACAGUCAAAGUUAUUUUUGAUUUGAAAACAAUAUGUUGCCAAUAAAUGCUGUUGAGAGCCAGAACAUGUAAUUGGAGGUGGUUAGUGUAUCUAGUGUGGUUUCACCCAUUAGGUUUAGAUUUUUAGUAUAUUCAGUUUCAGUUGCAUCUUAUUUCAGAUUUAAAUGGACUAUCUUCCUAUCUUCAGACACUCUCAGGCUCAUAGGAAGUGUUCAUGCUGUCCAUUAUCACUGUGUGUUAUAAAACAAAUUUUCAACUGUCUUAAGUUGUUGUGAAAUUAUUAAUGACUGAUCAGUCCACAGUUGAAUUUAAAUGUUGUUGUGAAUCUUUUCAAAGUGUCAUCCCGUCACACGUCAUGAUCAAAGGGCUCCCUGUUAGCGUACCAUGAUGACCUCACAGUGACAUCAUAAUCGGGGGCGGGUCUUGAGACGCUGCCUGUUUCAUUAGUGAAGGUGAACGAGAGUUGAUGGGUGCAGCUUUUGUGCCAAAUACUGUAUUCUUGAAGUACAGGGGAUGAACACUAGCAUCAUCCCUUGCGCAAAUGUAUAUAAACUAUUUUUUAUUGAACAAAUACUUCAUUGAAAGUAAAAAUGGUCUUGUCAUUUAACAGGUUUGUUUCGUUGAAGGAUAUUAUUUUAUUGUAUUGUCAGUUGUACAAAGAAAAGAUUCAGUGUUGCAUAAAAUGUCUGUUUGCUUUAUUUACUUCUGUUUGAUUCCGUCUCUGCAUCUGCUGUUGUUUGGAGACGCCACUCCAACUCUGAAACCAUUGUGUUUGUGAGACACACACACACACAAAAGAUAUAAAAAAUUGCAAUAAAGUGAUUUGAUUGAAUUAACCUGGA